GGACAGCUGGAUUGGGGAAACGGCUCGAGUCGCAAAAAAAGGAAUAUAACGCUGCAGAAAAUGGAAUGACACAAUUUCAUGUGUACAACAUCUAAAGACCUGGAUCACAACACUGAGUGCUUUGACAUUUCUAAAAGGAUGUAUUUGGGUGUUUUUGGAGCCUUUGUUCAUGUUUUUUCAGGACCCCCAUACUACACAACGAGGGUGAGGAAGUGAUUUACGGUUUGGGAUCUACCCGCUGACAUCAACACUGAACCAUCACAUCCUCUCCACCAUCUCAAGGAUAGACGUCUCAGACUCUGUACACUCCUGGAUUGCAUCCUACCUGGCAGGUCGCUCCUACCAGAAUGACACCUCACAAUAUGGAAGCAGCAGAAGAUUCAACGCUGUUCCAGAUGGUUAACGAACAAGGUUACAGUAUCUACUCCAUAAACACCAUGACCAGCUGGCAAAACUGGUUCCUGGUCCAAUGGCUGAUGCUGUCCCCUCCACCACCCCUGAACAUCGAGAGAAGCCCCGCCUAUGCCAUCAGAUACCUUCUGGACUCCCAACGUUGUGGGGGUCAGCUACAGUACCUGGUGGACUGAGAGGGGUACGGUCCAGAGGAGUGGUGUUGGGUUCUGUGGACGGCAUUCUAGUUCCCAACAUCAUCCGAGAUUUCCACCCUCGCUGUCCGGACCAGACCGCUACUCGCCUAUGGGGCUAUCCCCCUGGCCGGCGUUGGGGGGGGGGCGGGGGGUACGCUUCCCAUGUUUGUUCUUUUGUAU